UAAGACGUAGGGCGCGAGCGUUGUCCGGAUUUAUUGGGCGUAAAGAGCUCGUAGGCGGCUUGUUGCGUCGUCCGUGAAAACCUGGGGCUCAACUCCAGGCUUGCGGUCGAUACGGGCAGGCUAGAGUUCGGUAGGGGAGACUGGAAUUCCUGGUGUAGCGGUGAAAUGCGCAGAUAUCAGGAGGAACACCGGUGGCGAAGGCGGGUCUCUGGGCCGAUACUGACGCUGAGGAGCGAAAGCGUGGGGAGCGAACAGGAUUAGAUACCCUGGUAGUCCACGCUGUAAACGUUGGGCGCUAGGUGUGGGGGGCCUCUCCGGUUUCCUGCGCCGUAGCUAACGCAUUAAGCGCCCCGCCUGGGGAGUACGGCCGCAAGGCUA
rnacentral:rRNA from 1 species